UUUCUACUCCCUCCGUCUGAAAAUACUUGUCAAAAAAAUGGAUAAAAAGAGAUGGAUCUAAAACUAAAAUACGUCUAGAUACAUUUCUUUUUAUCCAUUUUGAUGACAAGUAUUUCCGGACGGAGGGAGUAUUUG
rfam:Triticum urartu cultivar G1812 contig1076451, whole genome shotgun sequence.